GGGGGCUUAGCUCAGUUGGGAGAGCACCUGCUUUGCACGCCAGGAGGUCAUCGGUUCGAACCCGUUAGCCUCCA
rnacentral:tRNA from 1 species